GAUGAACGCUAGCGGAAGGCCUAAUACAUGCAAGCCAAGGGGGUAGCAAUAUCACCGGCGCACGGGUGCGUAACGCGUAUGCAAUCUGCCUACUACAGGGGGAUAACCAGCCGAAAGGUUGGCUAAUACCGCAUAAUACAGGGGUCUCGCAUGAGAAUAUUGUUAAAGCUUCGGCGGUAGUAGAUGAGCAUGCGUUCGAUUAGCUAGUUGGUAGUGUAACGGACUACCAAGGCGAUGAUCGAUAGGGGGUCUCAGAGGAUGGUCCCCCACACUGGUACUGAGAUACGGACCAGACUCCUACGGGAGGCAGCAGUAGGGAAUAUUGGGCAAUGGAUGAAAGUCUGACCCAGCCAUUCCGCGUGAAGGAUGAAGGUUUUCGGAUUGUAAACUUCUUUUGCACGUGAACAAAGACGGGGUGCGCCCUGGAAUGAGUGUAGCGUGAGAAUAAGCACCGGCUAACUACGUGCCAGCCGCCGCCGUAAGAC
rnacentral:rRNA from 1 species